CAAGUCGAGCGAGAACCGUAGCAAUACGGGGACAGCGGCGAACGGGACAGUAAUGUGUAGGUACCUACCCCUGGGACCGGGAUAGCUGCGGGAAACUGCAGGUAAUACCGGAUAACGUCUCAGGACCAAAGGUGUGAUUCCACCUGGGGAGGGGCCUGCAUCCUAUUAGCUAGUUGGUGGGGUAACGGCUCACCAAGGCAACGAUGGGUAGCGGGUGUGAGAGCACGACCCGCGUCAUUGGGACUGAGAUACUGCCCAGACACCUACGGGUGGCUGCAGUCGAGGAUCUUCGGCAAUGGGGGAAACCCUGACCGAGCGACGCCGCGUGUGGGAUGAAGGCCCUCGGGUUGUAAACCACUGUCAACGGGGAGGAAAUGCAGGAGGGUUCUCCCUCCUGUUUGACCUAUCUGUGGAGGAAGUACGGGCUAAGUUCGUGCCAGCAGCCGCGGUAAGACGAACCGUACAAACGUUACUCGGAAUUACUGGGCUUAAAGGGUGCGUAGGCUGCGCGGAAAGUUGGGUGUGAAAGCCCUCAGCUCAACUGAGGAAUUGCACUCAAAACUACCGUGCUCGAGGGAGACAGAGGUAAGCGGAACUCAAGGUGGAGCGGUGAAAUGCGUUGAUAUCUUGAGGAACACCGGUGGCGAAGGCGGCUUACUGGGCCUCUUCUGACGCUGAGGCACGAAAGCUAAGGUAGCAAACGGGAUUAGAUACCCCGGUAGUCUUAGCUGUAAACGAUGAGCACUUGUUUGAAGGGUCCUCCAUAGCCUUUCAGACGUAGCGAAAGUGUUAAGUGCUCCGCCUGGGGAGUAUGGUCGCAAGGCUGAAACUCAAAGAAAUUGACGG
rnacentral:rRNA from 1 species